rnacentral:rRNA from 1 species
GACGAACGCUGGCGGCGUGCCUAAUACAUGCAAGUAGGCCGCAGUUGCGACCGGGUGAGUAACGCGUAGGUAACUACCUAUUAGAGGUGUAUAACUAUUGGAAACGAUAGCUAAUACCGCAUACUAGUAGAUGGACCUUCGUUGUAUUAGUUAGUAGGUAGGGUAAAGGCCGACCUAGUCAACGAUACAUAGCCGACCUGAGAGGGUGAUCGGCCAAACGGGGAAUGAGACACGGCCCAGACGCCUACGGGAGGCAGCAGUAGGGAAUCUUCGGCAAUGGGGGGAACACUGACCGAGCAACGCGGCGUGAGUGAAGAGGGUGUUCGGAUCGUAAAGCUCUGUGGUUAAGGAAGCGGUACUUAACCAGAAAGGGACGGCUAACUACGUGCCAGCAGCCGCGGUAAUUC